CAUUCUCAAACUAAAGUAUUCCUCGUAAGUUUUAAUUCAUGCAUCACAAAUGAUGUCUUGAUUGAUGAUUUCUCUUUCUUCAAUGAAAUUCGUAUAGCUAAACCUACUGUGAGUUGUCAAAGCAAUCCUUAUUUCUUCCUGCUACUCAAACCUUGUCAUUUUGAUACCUUUUGUUACCGAGUAUGCCAUUGGGGCAGUCUAUGUGAAGGUAAAAGGAGUAAUGUAAAGGUUUCCCAAAUUGUUAUGCUAGCUACUGUGCUGUUAUUGGUCUGCCUAGAAUGGAGGUGGCAAGGUCACCGCACUGCAAUGCUCUAUGAUAUUAUUUCAAAGUGCAGAAGUCUUAGCUCUUUUCUGUAAGAAUAGACAAGUUCAAAGUUCAAACCAAAGGCUGCAGAACACAUUGAUUUGUUGGUGGGUUAGGUUUCUUGGCUAUGUGGUUAGACCUCUUGACCAUUCUAUGCUAAUCUCAAAUUAUAAUCCAACUGGCCCAUUACUUAAAUCAAUUAAUUUUCUACUUGUCAUGUAAUUCUCAUUUGCUUUUUGGAUAUGUUUUGAUUUCUACUUUUUGGAUGAUGCAGGUUGAGUAAUGUAG
rnacentral:misc_RNA from 1 species